UACAGAGGUCUCGAGCGUUGUUCGGAUUCAUUGGGCGUAAAGGGUGCGUAGGCGGCGCGGUAAGUCGGGUGUGAAAUCUCGGGGCUUAACUCCGAAACUGCAUUCGAUACUGCCGUGCUUGAGGACUGGAGAGGAGACUGGAAUUUACGGUGUAGCGGUGAAAUGCGUAGAUAUCGUAAGGAAGACCAGUGGCGAAGGCGGGUCUCUGGACAGUUCCUGACGCUGAGGCACGAAGGUCAGGGGAGCAAACGGG
rnacentral:rRNA from 1 species